rnacentral:rRNA from 1 species
GAUUAAGUUAUUAAGGGCGCACGGUGGAUGCCUUGGCACUAGAAGCCGAUGAAGGACGUUACUAACGACGAUAUGCUUUGGGGAGCUGUAAGUAAGCUUUGAUCCAGAGAUUUCCGAAUGGGGAAACCCAGCAUGAGUUAUGUCAUGUUAUCGAUAUGUGAAUACAUAGCAUAUCAGAAGGCACACCCGGAGAACUGAAACAUCUUAGUACCCGGAGGAAGAGAAAGAAAAUUCGAUUCCCUUAGUAGCGGCGAGCGAAACGGGAAGAGCCCAAACCAACAAGCUUGCUUGUUGGGGUUGUAGGACACUCUAUACGGAGUUACAAAGGACGACAUUAGACGAAUCAUCUGGAAAGAUGAAUCAAAGAAGGUAAUAAUCCUGUAGUCGAAAAUGUUGUCUCUCUUGAGUGGAUCCUGAGUACGACGGAGCACGUGAAAUUCCGUCGGAAUCUGGGAGGACCAUCUCCUAAGGCUAAAUACUCUCUAGUGACCGAUAGUGAACCAGUACCGUGAGGGAAAGGUGAAAAGCACCCCGGAAGGGGAGUGAAAUAGAACCUGAAACCGUGUGCUUACAAGUAGUCAGAGCCCGUUAAUGGGUGAUGGCGUGCCUUUUGUAGAAUGAACCGGCGAGUUACGAUUUGAUGCAAGGUUAAGCAGUAAAUGUGGAGCCGUAGCGAAAGCGAGUCUGAAUAGGGCGUUUAGUAUUUGGUCGUAGACCCGAAACCAGGUGAUCUACCCUUGGUCAGGUUGAAGUUCAGGUAACACUGAAUGGAGGACCGAACCGACUUACGUUGAAAAGUGAGCGGAUGAACUGAGGGUAGCGGAGAAAUUCCAAUCGAACCUGGAGAUAGCUGGUUCUCUCCGAAAUAGCUUUAGGGCUAGCCUCAAGUGAUGAUUAUUGGAGGUAGAGCACUGUUUGGACGAGGGGCCCCUCUCGGGUUACCGAAUUCAGACAAACUCCGAAUGC